GUCUCUCCGUAGCUUAGUGGUUAGAACAUCUGACCGGUGUACGGAAGGUCAUGGGUUUGAAUCCUGUCGGGGACU